CUUGUCUUGUGAGAUCUCAUUUCAUGGAUUUUAUUCAUUGGAUUCAAUGAAAAAUGCUUCCCUCUUGUCCACUAUAUGGAGGCAAUCAAAUCACUCUCGCCGUCGGGUUGUCCUUCCUUUACAAGCCUGAACAAAGCCCAACAGAAGGACGGACGGACGGCACAUAAACACGCUCUGAUUUUUGCGAGACAAGGUUGGCACCUUGGUGAUGCGUAGGACAACCAGUAUGGCACAGUAAUUGGCUGCGCGUCGUGACAUCGACUCGGCUGCCGCCCAAAGAGAAAGCCAGAACACCCACAUGAUUUCUCGAAUCAAACACAGAGCACUGUGGAGAUCGGCUGAGGAUUAUUUCAUUAAAGCCAUAAUCCCUUCCGAAGCGUCUAGGAGGAGUUGAUACCUGAAGGAAAGCUGGGCGGCAGCUGAAAUCAGCACAUCUGAGGUCAUGUCAUGGCAGCUAAUGACUGAGACAGGUGGGAUCAGCUCAACAGACUUCAGGAUGACGCAAAAGCAGCUCACGGAUUGAUUCGGUUGAAAAAUACAGAUCGCAGAUCGACAGCACAGACCGGAUGUCACGGACUACAUCUGCAGCCCUCUGUAGCCAAGUCUUACUGACAGAAGUUUGCAUAAAUGCUGUGAUUUAGACUGGAAGUGAAUGGAAACUAUCCAACUAUCCAUAACUAUCCAUGUUCAAUUAAUUUUCCAUAGGAGAUUUCACUGGGUUUUAUGGAAUUAAAAAUAGAGCAAGACAUGCAAGGAACUCACACUUUGUUAUGUGUACUUUGUGCUGUUGUCAUUUUUUGUCACUUUUUAUGUUUCUGUUUAGCUUUCAUUUAUUUGUAAUUUAUUAUUUUUCAGUACUUCAGUAAUUUUUGUCCUUAAACAUAUAUAUUUUUUUCAGUUA